GCUGGGUGCCAUGGCUCACACCUGUAAUCCCAGCUAAUCAGGAGGCUGAGGCAGGAGGAUGGCAAGUUCCGGCCCAGCCUCCA
rnacentral:sRNA from 1 species